rnacentral:lncRNA from 1 species
CGUGUUUGUGUAGGAUGUUUUUCAAUGUAGAGAAAAAGACAGAAAUCCGCUACUUUCGAGAGAUGCAGCUCCUGGGUCGGAAAUACUGCAAAUAGUCACUUAAAAAGAAAAAGGAACGCGGCUUAUGCGAAUAUUUCUUACAGAUUAUUCUGUCCUUCAUUAAAAAGAGGGGGAAAAAGGCAGGGGCAACAACGCGGGGGGAAGAGAUGAUGUGGAUGUUGCCCCAGCCGUGAGGCGCUUCACUACAGUUUCGCCUCCGUCGCUUUACGAACUCCAGCUUGCCGUCACUGCGCUCUGUGGCGCUCAUGAACCGAAAGUUCUCGCGAGAACGAGAGGGAUGCGCUGUUAUGAUCUCGGCCAUCGAACGGGAUUUUCCGCUGCUUUACAAAACAAAUACCUGGCGCCUGUAAAUUCCAGUGUGGCUUAACUGACGUGAUCCAAGCUCUAUUAUAGCACUAUUAAUGUUGGGAUAACUACUGAUCACAUAAACACACAGAGACAUAGGAAUGUGCUUUAGGCAGCAGAAAGUACAGUCAGCUGCUGUUGACUAACGGUGUGGAAUUCAAGAGGGAACAGAGACACAGGCUCGCAACUGAACACAAACAGGACAGAGACAGACUGCAGGUGAAACCACUGAAAGAGGAAGAAAAAGUCUUCCAGAGAAUGCUUUAGGCGUCAACGUGCCUUUACUUUCUUGGCUGUUAAUCUUCACAGUCCAACAGUCUACUCAAUAUCAUAUUAAGAUUUCAGAUUUGGAGUAUUUUUUGGAGAUCCUCUGCAGUGAAUGGGUGCCAUCAGAAUGAGAGUUCAAACAUCUGAUAAAAAUAUCACAAUAAUCCAUAAAUAAUCCACUUGGCUCCAGUCCAUCAAUUAACGUCAUGUGAAGUGAAAAGCUGCUUGUUUGUAAUAAAAAAAAUCCAUCAUCAAGAUGUUUUUAUUAUAAAGUCCUUUUUCAUCUAACAUAAAACAGUAAAAAAAAAAAAAAAAAAAAGUAGUCUUGUCUGAACCAGGAGAGAAAUAUGCACAGAUCCAUUGAAACAGUAUAAAACAGUUCUAGACAAAUAUGUCGGUGGAUUUUAAUUUUAUCGGUUUGGCUCUCAUUCACUGCAGAGGAUCCAAUGGUGAGCAAGUGAUGUAAUGCUUAAUGUAUCCACAUCUGUUCUGAUGAAGAAACAUUUACAUCUUAGAAGGCCUGAGUAAAAAUUCAGCAAAUUUUCAUUUUGGGUGAACUGUUGAUCAAGACCUUAAACUUAUUUUUAUUUUAGAUAGUGUCCAAGGCUACAUUUUUUUAUUAUAAAAAUAAAUAAAUGAGAAAACACAACAAAAUGACUAAAACUUAAAUGAAAUAUAUGUAUUUAUAUAAACUUAAAACAAACUCAAAUUAAUUAAACAAAAAAUGUCUAUACCUGUAAUAAAGAUAUAUACUUAUAUUUUAGUUACUUGAAC